GCAGGCCACACAAGCCGCCGGCAAACUGUGUCACCCUCUUGGCAGUGACCUGCUGGGGCAAGCGAUAAGCUGAGAGAGCCGUGAGAGUCGACAUCGACAUAUCCAUCACGACCAUAAGGACAGCUGACUCUUCACAGUCCCGCACGCAUGAUGAGCCCCCCCUACCACAGCUUACCCUCCCAGCGGGCACCAGCCUGCCCAGCAGCCCCAGACGCUGGUACGCUGCCAGGCCCACACACUGACAACCAUAGAGAAGCAGAGACAGAGGGAGGACAGUUGAUCAGACAUUUGGGACACAUCUCCCACCACGGGCCUGCUGCCAGCUGCAUGCAACCAGUAUGGAGCAGGCUGCUUGCCACAUUGGAACAUGAUUAUCUUUCAUUUGGUCUGCUUUUGUGUGGAGUACAAUGGCCACCAUAAAAGGGGGCAGAGCCACCUGUAGAGUUAAUGAGAUGGUCACGCUUGGAGCAUUUGGGCUGGACAGGAGGGGGGAUUUACGAUGGUUGUGUUCUGAAGUGCUCACCUUGUUUGUUUGUUUUUUCAAGUCACAGACAAGAGUUCACACACACACGGUGUUUACAUGAAAUAAGUGUCUACAGUUUUGAGUUUUCAAUUAGCAUGUGUGUGCUUAUGUUUCUUUCUUUGUAUGUGUAGUGUGCCGGGUCAUCCCAGCAAGGCUACUCCAGAGGACCUGUUCUACCUCCUGUCGCGAAGGGUUGUCCAUAACAACCAACCAGGUUUUUAUUUGUCCGUCCAUCCUUCUGUUCUCUCUUUCUACUCUCUCUGGCUCUCUCUCUCCCAGUCUCCUCUCCACGAAUGCGGUUUUCAUUUAUUAGGCUCACCUUUUGCUCCUUUUAAUGAAGUUAAAUAUUUACAGUGUUGAAAGUCCAGCAACAGAAUGCUUGGAGGGUGCUGCCUCACUGAAAGGUUGACGACCCCCAGUGGAAAAAUUUGCGAUGAAAGGUCAUGAUACCGUAGCAGUGGGAGCUGUCAGGAAACGUAAACAACAACUCGCCUGGCUCAGUGUGUUGUCUGUCUUUUUAUGGUCAAUGGGUUGUCUGGCGUGUUGUUGGAGUGCCUGGGGAGCCAGUGGGAGCUGCACUGCCCUCAUCUCACCGAGUCAGGCACCCUGAGUCACCUCUACAUGUCAGCCAGGCAGAAGAGGGCAAGGAGCCUUCAGGACAGUGCAGGUGUGGCACUUAAAUGCCUGCCCCCCAGCACAACUGUAAGUCAUUUCUCAGGUUUCACACACAAUGCACAUUUUUGCAAAACAGUAAACACAACACUCUACAAAAGGUGCGAAGUUCAGUUGAGUAAAUCACAAAAAAAAAAAUCGACAUUAAAAAAUUGUCACAGCUGAUACAAAUUACUCCCAUGAAUGUGAACCUCUUCCGCACGUGUGCUAUACUUCUUUGCACAAUUGUUCAAUCAGCAAUCAGUCCUUAUUCAUGCAUAAAAAGAGGUCACCUCUGAGAUUGCCGUUUGCAAGAAUGGACCAAGUAAGAGGCAGAGGGAAAGGAGAGGGAGAGAGGGGCCCGUAGAGGAAGAUUGUCAAUAGUUCAGCUCUGUUGCAAAGGUCAACUAAAGCCUUUUGUUGACAGAUAUUCAUGCUCUUGAGUGACAUUCCUUCUGCAUUGGUCAUCUUUGGUCAAAUAAUUUUAGGUAAAAAUAAUACAGCUCAUGCUGUGAUAUGUUUACUUGCCCUUUUAUGGUGCAUAAUUAUAGUAUCAACAAAAUGCCACAGACGUUGCUCGGGUAUAUUGAUAGCUGUAGCUAGUAUUUAUUGGGACAUUGUGUACCGAUUGAUUGAAAUAGCUUUUCAUUAGAUAACAAGAUGUAUAUUCUGGUGGAGGUAGUUGAUUUUGUGUGAUGUUUUUAAUGUUGAGAGUUUUAAUGCAUUUUGCAAAUUAAAUGUGUCAUUUUGACCAUUGUGUUUCAGUUCAGGGCUGCGCAUUACUUGUUUUGAAAAAGUUGAUUCUGUUUGGACAAAUCAAGCAAUCGAGGAAAAAAAACUAUCUGCGCUGGAGCGUUGGAGAUAACAGUAUUAGAGUCCGAAUGUCUCUGCAUCCUAUCAUUGGGCCUAUCUGGUGUGGGAGACAGACAUGGCCCGAGUCACAGGAGUUAGUGCCAAAUACUUAUCCUCUGAUAACAUUUGGAGGAAAUGUGUGUUAUAGUGACAAUCCGGAAUUCAUUUUCUAUGAGGAUAGACAAUUGUCAGUCCCUUCUGCAAGGACAGAGGUGAUUAGGUUAUUGGCUUUGUUCUCCUCCAGUAUAUUGGUUUCAUUUUCUCAUUCAGUAAAUCCAACCAAUAAGUGUUGUCUUGUUAAAUAUAUAAAGGGUUAUUUUUCA